CCUAGUUACCAGCACGUUAUGGUGGGCACUCUAAGGAGACUGCCGGUGACAAACCGGAGGAAGGUGGGGAUGACGUCAAGUCAUCAUGGCCCUUACGGCCUGGGCUACACACGUGCUACAAUGGUCGGUACAAAGGGUUGCCAAGCCGCGAGGUGGAGCUAAUCCCAUAAAACCGAUCGUAGUCCGGAUCGCAGUCUGCAACUCGACUGCGUGAAGUCGGAAUCGCUAGUAAUCGUGAAUCAGAAUGUCACGGUGAAUACGUUCCCGGGCCUU
rnacentral:rRNA from 1 species